AAACUUCCCAGGCUAUUUCAGCUACAGACAUUCAAUAGGGAGCAAAGGCAGAUCUGUGUAAUGGAUAAGAGGUUUCUGAGAUCUGAUUUUCUUCUUCAUGUCUGUAGCAGUACACUGGGUAGUCAUAGCGCUGCUCCUACAAAUACCACAGUACAAAAAGAAAUGUUCCUCUGGUGUGCCAGUAGUGCAGAAGAAAUGCGAAAGUCACCCGGCAAUUCACAACAACUUGUGGCUAAAAUUGGUUCCUUCUGUCAUUUGCGGACACUGGUCAAUAAACCUUCAAGGAUCCCUGACCCUUCAUGAUGAAAACAAAUGGAUGACCUCUAUUCUAAUUUUGUCUGGCCAUGAGGACAUACAUGAAACAAGAUAUGCAAACUUCAAGCUAUCGAGGCCCAUUGUUCCUGGGCCUGUGACCACUUGGCACUCACUGUUACGUAAAACCUCUCUGGAAUAG
rnacentral:lncRNA from 1 species